AAUCGUAACAACCGUUCUUCUUUACAUCAUUCGGGUGCUUUUUAUUACAUCAAAUUGUUCAAAGUUGUAAACUGCUGAACACAUUUCUUUUCCCACGUCAAGUUUUGACCAAAAUUUGGUUAUUGCUAAAGAUUCUGGUUCACACAAAUACGAAGUCGUGAAUGGUAUUAAUAUAUAUGCGAACCUUUAUGGUUAUUUCGGGUUAAUAAUUUAUCUUUUAUGUAGUUUGAAAGUUCCAGUAUCCUAAAAGUCUAACAGUCUAAAAACAAAACAAAAUUAAAUGUCCGUCAAGUUGGUGUCGGCACAUUAUGCUAGGACUCUACAAUUAGUAUCAAUAUUUUGCUAGAAAUUGAAUUUAUAAGAAUUGAUCUUUUCUUCAUGCCUUCGUUGUUUG